GAGGUUAUAGCUCAGUGGUAGGGUAUCCCCUUAGCAUGAACAAGGUCCUGGGUUCAAUCCCCAGUACCUCCA
rnacentral:tRNA from 1 species